UACAGAGGUCUCAAGCGUUGUUCGGAUUCAUUGGGCGUAAAGGGUGCGUAGGCGGCGCGGUAAGUCGGGUGUGAAAUCUUGGAGCUUAACUCCGAAACUGCAUUCGAUACUGCCGUGCUUGAGGACUGGAGAGGAGACUGGAAUUUACGGUGUAGCGGUGAAAUGCGCAGAUAUCGGGAAGAACACCUAUGGCGAAGGCAGCUCUCUGGGACGGUACUGACGCUGAGACGCGAAAGCGUGGGGAGCAAACAGG
rnacentral:rRNA from 1 species